rnacentral:tmRNA from 1 species
GGGGUCGACAGGUAUUGACAGCAUGACUAAUUUUUUUAUUAGCAAGUCGAGUUUUGAAAAUACACUCGUAAAACUAAUUUUCAGCUUUUAAAUGGCGAAAACAACUACGCUCUAGCUGCAUAAUUGACUGAACUAUAGUAAGUCAUUGCGAAUCUCAACUAGGUUGAGAAGCUGGAUGUCUCAUAAAAACUCUGAUUAACAGUUUUUAUAUAAGAGAUACCAUUAAGUUAAUCUAGAGUUUUGCAAUCACUGGGCAUAACUCAAAAAUAAAAGUGAUAAGGAAAAUAUUUUGGUUGUUAUCUACCAAGUGUUUUUUCGAAAAAUUAAAGAUAAAUAAGCUUGUAGAAUGUAAUCUAAUUACUUGUUUGGACGCGGGUUCGAAUCCCGCCGACUCCAC